AACCUAGUGGCGGACGGGUGAGUAACACGUGAGCAACCUGCCUAUCAGAGGGGGAUAACGAUUGGAAACGAUCGCUAAUACCGCAUGACAUAGCGAAACCGCAUGGUUUUGCUAUCAAAGAUUUAUCGCUGAUAGAUGGGCUCGCGUCCGAUUAGAUAGUUGGUGAGGUAACGGCUCACCAAGUCGACGAUCGGUAGCCGGACUGAGAGGUCGAACGGCCACAUUGGGACUGAGACACGGCCCAGACUCC
rnacentral:rRNA from 1 species